rnacentral:rRNA from 1 species
UGGGCCCGAGUUUGAUCAUGGCUCAGAGCGAACGCUGGCGGCAGGCUUAACACAUGCAAGUCGAGCGGGCGUAGCAAUACGUCAGCGGCAGACGGGUGAGUAACGCGUGGGAACGUACCUUUUGGUUCGGAACAACUCAGGGAAACUUGAGCUAAUACCGGAUACGCCCUUACGGGGAAAGAUUUAUUGCCGAAGGAACGGCCCGCGUCCGAUUAGCUUGUUGGUGAGGUAAUGGCUCACCAAGGCGACGAUCGGUAGCUGGUCUGAGAGGAUGACCAGCCUCACUGGGACUGAGACACGGCCCAGACUCCUACGGGAGGCAGCAGUGGGGAAUAUUGGACAAUGGGCGCAAGCCUGAUCCAGCCAUGCCGCGUGGAUGAUGAAGGCCCUAGGGUUGUAAAGUCCUUUUAACGGGGAAGAUAAUGACGGUACCCGUAGAAUAAGCCCCGGCUAACUUCGUGCCAGCAGCCGCGGUUA